rnacentral:rRNA from 1 species
UUACGGUCAAAUCACGCUAAAAACACCGGUUCUCGUUCGAUCACCGAAGUUAAGCAUCGUAGAGCCAGGUCAGUACUUAGAUGGGGGACCGCUUGGGAACACUUGGUACUGUAAG